UAUUCCCCUCCCUGCCACCCCCGGCUCUGCCCCUGGUGGUCUGGAGGUCAUCAUAGAGGAGAGGUGUGGGUGAGGACGAGAUGCUGAAUGGGGUCAGCAUGGACACUGCCACCCCCUAGGGGCAGGGGACCACCCCUGGCGACCCUCAAGCUGGGCAUGCCUCUGCCCCACCCACUGUGCACCCCUCCUGCCCUGGCUGCUGUCUUCCAGCAUCCACAGGAGUCCUGGGUGAACUGGCCGGGCCGGGAACUUGGGACAAAAGUUCUGAUCCAGUGGUCACAGCGCUCGUCCCUGUGGGAGGGAGAGAUGGAUGCUCCAGCCUCAAUCCCCCUGGGUGCCGGAGCCAGAGACUCAUAGGGGCUGGGCGAACCUUGGCACCCUACCAUUUCUCUCUCCACCACCCCCAGAGGGACCCUGCUCAGACCCACUCCUCACCAGAUCGCUUCUGUGCUGGUGCCUGAGGCCCCUGGCAGUGUGAGGGCUGCCCCCCUGCCAAGCCACCCAGCUGCUGCUCAGAAGAGCUGUACGAUGGAUGCUUCCUGAAGGAGUGCUUCUCUCUGACUCACCAGCCCCUGCCGUGGACGCCUCAUGCCUCCUUCUGAGGCAGGUGGCUCGUUCAAGGCCCAGUUCCAGAGGCUACCUCCCUCACCCUCUGUGUGUCUGCUCUGAAGUGACCAAUAAAUGCUGAUCUAAUGAAGGAAGAAAUGAACAAAUAUCUGAAUCCGGUGCUGAGCAGAAGGAUGAAUGACUGUCUCUCACCUUCGGUCAUCCCUUGACUGUGACAUCAGUCUGCCGCUAGACCCUCAAGCAGCCCCUCAGGUCUCCCCCACUUUCGCCAAGGAGGUGGCAGCUCUCACCUGAGCAGGGUGGAGGUGACAUUGUAGCUGCGGUCUUCUUUCAGCUCGUAGAUGGUGGCGUACAUCUUAAACUGGCCUUGUUUUUCCUUCUUCAAUGCAUUCCCUGCCAAGCCUACGAUGUACCACUUCCCCUGGAACUACAGGGGGCUGUAAUAGGCAGAGCCCACGAAUGACCCUAGGGCCCCUGCCCUGAACCAGGCCCUGAACCAGGCCCUGAACCAGUAGCUAAGCAGCAGAGCCUGGGACUGGGCAUUCAGUUCCUGCACUGAUGAAGCAGUGGGAGCCGGAGGCAGCCAGGCCAGGAGGGAGCCCUGAGGAUGGCAGGGAGGGGGCGACCCUGGGCAGGGUGGCCAGCUGGCCUCCCUGUGCCUCAGUUUCCUCCUCACGCAGAGGGACUAAAGGUGUCCCCACCACGCAUGGACUACAGCAAUUAUGGGAGAGAGACUGGACCUGGGAAGGUCUGCCCAGGUGAUCCUCUUGUCAGCAAGUUCGGGGUCGGUGUGGGACAAUGGAGCGUGGCUUCCGUCGGGGGAGCCAGGGCAGGCUAAGCUGAAGCCUGGGCGUCCUGCCUUUACCUGUCUGCUAGGACUCUUCACCUGUCUUCCCCUCUGCCUGCACUCUUCCCUGGGCACCCCUGCAGCUCUCCCUCCAGGGCCCUUACCUGGUCAGGCUGGAAGUUGGGCUGCAGCGGGACCCUGAAGAGAGGUGGGGCUGGGAUCAGGUUGGGGGUGGAAUCCUGGGCUUGGGUGUGCAGGGCCCCCAGCAGGCUGAGGCCCAGCCACAGGAGACCUAGGGGCAUGGCUUCAGGGCUGAGCAGGCUGGCGUUCCCUACAGCAGCUGAGGGGGGAAGUGAGUGCGGAGGCUGCCUGGGCAACCCUAUGUAUGGUCCACCUGCCUCGUGGCCCCUCCCAGGGUGGAGUCAUUCAUAUUUUGCCAUAUCCGGGAAGGCUGAGGCAUUUGCCAGCACUCCUGCUGAAACACCUGGCAAGAUUUCUGCCCCUUUCCCCGCUGGUCAGGAUUGUGCAAGACCAGGGGCAGAAGGUGGGGAGCAGACAUUGCCCAGAGCUCUGCACGUCUGGCAGGCACAAGGGCUCCCUCCACUCUCUCUGUGCCCCUUCCCUUCAUUCUGGUUGGCUCUGUAUAUGGUUGGUGGUCCCCGAUCAGGACAAGCUGUCAUCUCUGACUUUCAGGGGCCCCUGCUCAGCCCCAGCCCAGGGUGGGUAUGUGUGGUGAGACCCCCUUCCCACAUCCGAGGAACACAGACCAUUGCUCACCCUGGCAGCCUGUGUGCUGUGGCCUGGUUCGCAGAAGGGACAGGGAAGGGUGGGGCAGCUGAGAGGGAACAUUUCUGACCAGGAAGGACAGAGAGUGUGGUGUGUGCCCUGAGCUCUCGGAGCCCAGAUCCUGGCCCUCCCGGGGGCCGCACACCAGGCCAGAGGCUGAAGGAAGAGCCCCUCCCCUCCUCCAUGCCUCGGACCUUAGCCAACCCCUAAAGGACUUGGUCCCUGCUGUGGGCCCAGGGGAUGAGACCCCAAGCUGGGCAUUAGAGCCCCACGCGUAGACCCUUGGCAAAGCAGAGAGCAGGUGUUGCGGUCCCAGCGCCAUGCUUGUGGGGGGCAGCACGGGGCAUGCGUCUGUGCUGGGUGAGGGGCGCUGGGGGCUGGGGCCUGAAGGUGGGCUAUCCACCCAGCUGCUCUGGACACCAAGUGCUUUGGGGCACAGGGAAUGCAGGGACUUGGACUUGUCUUUGAGAGGUCCUUGAGGCCAGCUGCUGUCUCUGGCCACAGCCUUGGAGCCCAGUGCCCUGGGCGUGGGACCCCAGAAUUGUCCCUGCCAUGGCUGAUCCCAGCUUUGUCCUUGGAGGGGUGCAGUUUCCUCACUGGGGGCCUGGCCGUCCUUGGGAGGCAAUGGUGGGUCCCAGGCCCUGGGCAAUGUCUCCCAGAUAGCUUACCAUGAGGGCCAAGGCUGUCUGGAUGCCUGAUCUGUGGCUGAACUGAGGAUCCGCUGGCCUCGCAUGAGACUGACGGGGACCUCAAUGGCUCUGCCUGCCUGCUGCUUGGGAAUCAGCUUCCCCAGCCGAGGCUCUGGGGUGCCGAGCCCUGAGGGGAGGGGCUUUGGAGGGGUCCUGAGCUGGUGGGUAGGACGCAUCCUACUGAGGCAGAGAGGCCCCCACAGGACCCCUGCCCUCUCAGGCCCUGACCUGCCGGCCUUUCCGGGUGAUGAAAGCACAGGAAGUAGAGAUGAGCAAAGCCUCUUCAGGGAUGUUGCCACCGAAGGCCGGGCCCUCUGCAGGCACCCGUGGCCACCCCCACCCCCCCUUUCAUCCGUGCUCGCAGCCCCAGGGCCUCUACCCCUGCUAUUCUCUUUGACCUUAAAAUGUAUCCUCGAGUCUGUGGUGACUCCUAGACGUUGGGGAAACUCAUGGAUGGAGGCUCAAAGAAUUUUAAGUAGGAGAGGGACAGUACCCUGGAUCACCAAGGAGCCGCUGCAGGGAAUAUUCUAGAUUCUAAAAGUCAGGGUUGGGACUUCCCUGGUGGCACAGUGGUUAAGAAUCCGCCUGCCAAGGCAGGGGACACGGGUUCGAGCCCUGGUCCGGGAACAUCCCACAUGCCGCGG